rnacentral:rRNA from 1 species
CAGCAGCCACGGUAAGACAGAGGUCCCGAGCGUUGUUCGGAUUCAUUGGGCGUAAAGGGUGUGUAGGAGGCCAGGUAAGUCAGGUGUGAAAUCUCAGAGCUUAACUCUGAAACUGCGCUUGAUACUGCUUGGCUAGAGGAUCGGAGGGGGUAACGGAAUUUAUGGUGUAGCAGUGAAAUGCGUAGAUAUCAUAAGGAACACCGGUGGCGAAGGCGGUUACCUGGAAGAUUCCUGACUCUGAAACACGAAAGCCAGGGGAGCAAACGGGAUUAGAUACCCCCGUAGUCCCUGUCUCUUAUAC